rnacentral:rRNA from 1 species
GAUGAACGCUGGCGGCGUGCCUAAUACAUGCAAGUCGAGCGAACGGACGAGAAGCUUGCUUCUCUGAUGUUAGCGGCGGACGGGUGAGUAACACGUGGAUAACCUACCUAUAAGACUGGGAUAACUUCGGGAAACCGGAGCUAAUACCGGAUAAUAUUUUGAACCGCAUGGUUCAAAAGUGAAAGACGGCCUUGCUGUCACUUAUAGAUGGAUCCGCGCUGCAUUAGCUAGUUGGUAAGGUAACGGCUUACCAAGGCAACGAUGCAUAGCCGACCUGAGAGGGUGAUCGGCCACACUGGAACUGAGACACGGUCCAGACUCCUACGGGAGGCAGCAGUAGGGAAUCUUCCGCAAUGGGCGAAAGCCUGGCGGAGCAACGCCGCGUGAGUGAUGAAGGUCUUCGGAUCGUAAAACUCUGUUAUUAGGGAAGAACAUAUGUGUAAGUAACUGUGCACAUCUUGACGGUACCUAAUCAGAAAGCCACGGCUAACUACGUG